CCUGAAAGAUUAUAGGAGGUCCAGCCUGCCCAGUGAUAAAAUUAAACGGCCGCGGUACCCUAACCGUGCGAAGGUAGCGCAAUCACUUGUUCUUUAAAUGAGGACUAGUAUGAACGGCAUCACGAGGAUUAUACUGUCUCCCUUCUUUAAUCAGUGAAACUGAUCCCCCCGUGAAGAAGCGGGGAUAUACAUAUAAGACGAGAAGACCCUAUGGAGCUUUAAACUUAACACCACUUAUCUAAGACACUUCAUAAUAAACAGAUAAGCUUGUGCGCGUUUUAGGUUGGGGUGACCGCGGAGUAAAAUUUAACCUCCACGUUGAAAGGCCUUUAUCCUUAUCCAAGAGCCACAUCUCCAAGAAUCAACAAAUUGACACUUAUUGACCCAAAUUUUUUUGAUCAACGAAC
rnacentral:rRNA from 1 species